UACGUAGGGUGCGAGCGUUGUCCGGAAUUAUUGGGCGUAAAGAGCUCGUAGGCGGUGUGUCACGUCGGCCGUGAAAACCUGCAGCUUAACUGUGGGCGUGCGGUCGAUACUGGCAUCACUGGAGUUCGGCAGGGGAGACUGGAAUUCCUGGUGUAGCGGUGAAAUGCGCAGAUAUCAGGAGGAACACCGGUGGCGAAGGCGGGUCUCUGGGCCGAUACUGACGCUGAGGAGCGAAAGCGUGGGGAGCAAACAGG
rnacentral:rRNA from 1 species